rnacentral:lncRNA from 1 species
CCAAGCAAUUCUUUCAAUGUACAGAGGGGAAAAGCACAAACCUCACACGCUUUUCUGCGAUUUACUCUGUACUUUAUAGCGCCUGGGCGGCAGAAAGGGAGACAGAGCUUUUCCCGCCUUGCGGCUGCAGCCUCACGUGCGCCCCUCAGGAGGAGUCGGGCUUUCCCUCAGAGCGACUGAACACGUGCAGGGCCUGAGAAGGCGGGUGUGCCCUCACAACGCCCGGUUAGCUGAACUUCUGUCAGAAAGCCCCCUAGUGCACCACUUAGAGUUAUUCUUGGGAAGAAUGGGAAGCAGACAUUAACAUCUUGUACCUCUGAGACAUACUUAAGGUUGCUAAACUGAUGCACGAAGGAGUACAUUACUGAAGGUGAAUGUUUUCUUGGGGAUCUUAAAAGCAUCAGAGUAUCGUAAAGGCAUUUAGGUGUGCUGAGCUUGAUAAAGAGGAGAUCCUGUUUGGCGGGUACUUUGCUGCUACAAUUUCUGAAAGCCAUGGGAAUGAGGGAGGGCAUUGGAAUUUUGUAUAUAAAGCAUCCAGGCUUGAAAGUGGCAAUAGCAGCAGCACUGCCCAUUUGCAGCAGAGGAGAGUACUGGAAACACCUCUGUGUUUAGGGCAUGCAUCAUGUUUCUGACAGCACUGUUGCUCAUCUUCUACAGUUGUCUGCAAUGUGCUGGUAAGUCUAAAAUGUCCACUUUCUUAUCUAUGUAUGAUUUGAAGGAAAACGUGUAUUGUGACAAAGUAGGAAACUCCACUGCAAAAUCACAACAAAUAAUAGUACAAUUCAAGUGUUACUCUCCUUUCUCCUGACCAUCAG